CCUCUUCCAUCAUGCAUCAGUUGAUAAAGCUCAGUCGUUCAAAAGAGUGUAUACAACCAUCGCGAUAAAUAAGGAUCGAUAAAUAUCUAAAACUAAUAAUCCAAGAUAAGGGUCCAAGAAAGAGAUGGGCAAGAUACUUAUCUGGAUAAAAACUUCAAAUAAUGAAUAAAAGGUAGGAAGAGCUCGGAGCGCUUUGAGGCAGGGCCAAAAACGCAGGUGUUGGCCAUUGUUACCUUGCCAAUUUCCCGCUGCUUAAGCCGUUGGCCAAAAACGGAACCCUUCAUUUUCGAGGGUGUGCGAAACAAGGUAUCACGCGAAAGUCACAGUAACCCUCAACAACCCUCUACAGCCUCAACAGUUGACGGAAGAACGUCCUGGCGACGGAAAACGGUAAAUAGUUGAGCAUUGUCGCGAAUAAAGAAGGCGACAAAGGUCGUUUCGUGCAAUUCAUCGUCUCUCUGACAAUGAGUCAUAACGAAGAUCUGCCAGUGACACGGUCAUCAAACAUGCACUGGCGGCGAGUAAAGUCAAUAUUGAUGCGCUUGUAAAACUACCGAUAGUCAGUUUAGAUUAAGAUAAAGAGGGCUCUGUGAAUCACGUGAGCGUUCCAACUCGUGUUUAGGUUCACGUGUUUGAGCCUGCUUCAACUCGCUUGGUGAACUGAUUUUAACAAUAAAGAGUAAUUCACUCCUGACGUUUAAAAACUGUUUUUUUUUCAUUUGCAUUAAUUUGAACAUACAUAUUCAAAAUGCAUUUCGAGUUUAUUGAAUUGAAAUUGGCUAAAUUUAGCAAAGUUAUGAGACUUCAAAGGUAACAAGGAGGACGCAAAUUUAUUUUUUCAGUAUUCGCAUUUGAAUUUAUAACUAUAACGUUGUUUUUCUAAAAAUUACUUUUUCGUAGUAGGUAUCGCUAAAAAGAUCAAUGGUAAUGAAUAAAGAAUCCAAAAUAAUUUACAGUCUGCGAUAUAACUAUAAUGGCCAUAGUAUCGUUCAUUUAGUUUAUAGCAUUGAAAGAAAAAGUUUAAAUACUAUCUUUAAUGAUUUUAAAGCUGUAACAUUUCAUGACCAAUAUAAGAAAAUACAACCAAAAACAAAACCUGUAAAUUACAUUUCUGUCUGUUACUACCCCAAAAGUAAAAAUAGUAUGUCGAAAUUUAUUGUUUGAACGAAAUUGUUUCCUAAAGAGGAUACUACAUUAGAAUAGUUGUUUUUAUUCUUGUGUGCUUUAUUAUAUGCGAAAUAUCAACAAGAAUAAAGUAGCCGAGACUGCCCGUUCUCCUAAUAUGUUUCGCAUAAUACCUUUUUUAGAAACAAAUCACAUGUACAGUGUUGGACGCGUAAAAUUCUAAUUUCAUAGAUGCAUUAUUUUUUCAAAGAAAAAUAGUAUUCCUUGGAAGAAAUAAUAUUAUGUCUCUGGUAUUUGUUUC